GAAAUAUUAAAAUUUGAAGCUAUAUGGUCUAACAAAUCUCUAGAAAAAAAAAUUGACUAUAUCGGUAGAUUCAUAUUCAUUUAAAUAAUAAAAAAUUAUAACAAGUUAAUUAAAGGUCAAACUAUAUUAACAUAAAAUAUCAUAAUUAAACAAGUAUCUAUAAACCAAAAGAAAAAGGAGAGGGAAAAGAACAAAUAAUGAAACAAAAAUAACUAAAGAUAAAUUUUAUGUUUCAUGGUAAAAAAUAACGUCAAUCCUUCAAGUAGACGGGGGAUAUGAGGAGGAUGUCAAU
rnacentral:misc_RNA from 1 species